AACCCCUACUUGUUAGUUGCCAUCAUUCAGUUGGGCACUCUAGCGAGACUGCCGGUAAUAAACCGGAGGAAGGUGGGGAGUGACGUCAAAUCAUCAUGCCCCUUAUGACCUGGGCUACACACGUGCUACAAUGGUUGGUACAACGAGUUGCGAGUCGGUGACGGCGAGCUAAUCUCUUAAAGCCAAUCUCAGUUCGGAUUGUAGGCUGCAACUCGCCUACAUGAAGCCGGAAUCGCUAGUAAUCGCGGAUCAGCAUGCCGCGGUCGAAUACGUUCCCGGGCCUU
rnacentral:rRNA from 1 species